rnacentral:rRNA from 1 species
GACGAACGCUGGCGGCGUGCUUAACACAUGCAAGUCGAACGGAAAGGCCCUGCUUUUGUGGGGUGCUCGAGUGGCGAACGGGUGAGUAACACGUGAGUAACCUGCCCUUGACUUUGGGAUAACUUCAGGAAACUGGGGCUAAUACCGGAUAGGAGCUCCUGCUGCAUGGUGGGGGUUGGAAAGUUUCGGCGGUUGGGGAUGGACUCGCGGCUUAUCAGCUUGUUGGUGGGGUAGUGGCUUACCAAGGCUUUGACGGGUAGCCGGCCUGAGAGGGUGACCGGCCACAUUGGGACUGAGAUACGGCCCAGACUCCUACGGGAGGCAGCAGUGGGGAAUAUUGCACAAUGGGCGGAAGCCUGAUGCAGCAACGCCGCGUGCGGGAUGACGGCCUUCGGGUUGUAAACCGCUUUCGCCUGUGACGAAGCGUGAGUGACGGUAAUGGGUAAAGAAGCACCGGCUAACUACGUGCCAGCAGCCGCGGUGAUACGUAAGGUGCGAGCGUUGUCCGGAUUUAUUGGGCGUAAAGGGCUCGUAGGUGGUUGAUCGCGUCGGAAGUGUAAUCUUGGGGCUUAACCCUGAGCGUGCUUUCGAUACGGGUUGACUUGAGGAAGGUAGGGGAGAAUGGAAUUCCUGGUGGAGCGGUGGAAUGCGCAGAUAUCAGGAGGAACACCAGUGGCGAAGGCGGUUCUCUGGGCCUUUCCUGACGCUGAGGAGCGAAAAGCGUGGGGAGCGAACAGGCUUAGAUACCCUGGUAGUCCACGCUGUAAACGGUGGGUACUAGGUGUGGGGUCCAUUCCACGGGUUCCGUGCCGUAGCUAACGCUUUAAGUACCCCGCCUGGGGAGUACGGCCGCAAGGCUAAAACUCAAAGGAAUUGACGGGGCCCCGCACAAGCGGCGGAGCAUGCGGAUUAAUUCGAUGCAACGCGUAGAACCUUACCUGGGUUUGACAUGGAUCGGGAGUGCUCAGAGAUGGGUGUGCCUCUUUUGGGGUCGGUUCACAGGUGGUGCAUGGCUGUCGUCAGCUCGUGUCGUGAGAUGUUGGGUUAAGUCCCGCAACGAGCGCAACCCUUGUUCACUGUUGCCAGCACGUUAUGGUGGGGACUCAGUGGAGACCGCCGGGGUCAACUCGGAGGAAGGUGGGGAUGACGUCAAGUCAUCAUGCCCCUUAUGUCCAGGGCUUCACGCAUGCUACAAUGGCUGGUACAGAGAGUGGCGAGCCUGUGAGGGUGAGCGAAUCUCGGAAAGCCGGUCUCAGUUCGGAUUGGGGUCUGCAACUCGACCUCAUGAAGUCGGAGUCGCUAGUAAUCGCAGAUCAGCAACGCUGCGGUGAAUACGUUCCCGGGGCUUGUACACACCGCCCGUCAAGUCAUGAAAGUUGGUAACACCCGAAGCCGGUGGCCUAACCGUUGUGGGGGAGCCGUCGAAGGUGGGACUGGUGAUUAGGA